rnacentral:rRNA from 1 species
CCUACGGGCGGCAGCAGUGAGGAAUAUUGGUCAAUGGGCGAGAGCCUGAACCAGCCAAGUCGCGUGAGGGAAGACGGUCCUAUGGAUUGUAAACCUCUUUUGCCGGGGAGCAAAAAGCGGUACGUGUACCGCAUCGCGAGUACCCGGAGAAAAAGCAUCGGUUAACUCCGUGCCAGCAGCCACGGUAAUACGGGGGCUGCGAGCUGUAUCCGGAUUUCUUGGGUUAAAAGGGUGCGCAGGGGGAGAGUUAAGUCAGCGGUAAAAUGUCGGGGCUAAACCCCGGCAAGCCGUUGAAACUGGCUUGCUAGAGUGGGCGAGAAGUAUGCGGAAUGCGUGGUGUAGCGGUGAAAUGCAUAGAUAUCACGCAGAACUCCGAUUGCGAAGGCAGCAUACCGGCGCCCAACUGACGCUCAGGCACGAAAGCGUGGGUAUCGAACAGGAUUAGAUACCCCAGUAGUC